rnacentral:lncRNA from 1 species
AGAAACAGGCAGCCUGACUAGAGAACAAACUACCAAUUAACGAGCGAGGAAACAGGGCCAGAGAAUUGGAACAAAAUACAAGGCUGCCUCUGAAAGGAAUAUCUUUGUGCUGAUGUGUCCAUCAAGAGAACAUACACAGAAGUGACACUUGCCAGGUGGACGGUCCCCUGGAGAGCCCGCUGUGUUGGAAGAUGUAGAAUAUUCAUAUAUCUGGUGAGCAUCUGCUAGAUGCCAGGGUUGGGGAGAGUCAAGUUGAAGCAAGCAUGAACCCUCAAGGACCUACCAUUUCAAGGCAAGAAAUAGAUACAAAUACAGCGUAAUUAUCUCUCCAAUUAAAGAGCAACCAAGGGACAACUGAACUGGAGGUUCUGCAGAAUUACAACUAAGCACGCAGCCGAGGAAUCUACUCAGCUUUGAUCUCUUAUCGCUCUGCACACACAGCCCUUUCUCUGUAAGGCUAGCUGCUCUCAGCAUCACUGUGUCUAAUCAAACGUGUCACACCUCCACUGAGAAAAUAUUUACUGGAUAGCUACUAGACAUAAGGAUGCAGAAAUGAAUUAGAAAAAUUCCUCGCCCUUGUUCAAAGCUAUGCUGGCUCUUAGAACAUCUGAGCCCCCACUGUUUCAUCUUUAGAGGAUCCCAGCUGCUGGGGUGUGAGGCCAGUGCUGGAGCCAGCAGUCUCUGACCCAGAAGGGACCUGAGGUGCUAAAGAAAAGGGUACAAGCUGGAAAAGGGGAAAAUGAAUCAUGCUACAGGCCAAGUGUCCAUCACUGAUUCCCAGAGAUGCCCUUUGUGUGGUAGGCACUUCCAUGUGGACUCGCUACAGAGGUCAUAAGACCCUAAUUCCAGAGGGCCCUACCCUAUAACCAGAAGGAAGAACUAUUGCACAGAGAAUCUAAGAAGAAUCUAGACAGACAGCCCUUGCUGGAUUUCUCCACUCUGUUAGCAUUCGAUCAUUUGCCUUUUGUCCAGUCAUAUUUCUGCAUGGCUGUCCAUACUUUGUUGAACCUAAGCACAAAAUGGAAAGUUUUCCCUGUAUCUUUGGGUCGUCAUUCUGAAGGCUCCCAUGUUAUGUAAAACUAUGAUCAAAUAAAUAUGCAUGCCUUUUCUCCUAUAA